UUGAUUUAAUAUAAGAGGUCCAGCCUGCCCAGUGACUCUGUUUAACGGCCGCGGUAUCCUAACCGUGCGAAGGUAGCGUAAUCACUUGCCCCUUAAAUCGGGGCUAGUAUGAACGGCAUCACGAAGGUUACACUGUCUCCUUUUUCUAAUCAGUGAAUCUGAUCUCUCCGUGAAGAAGCGGGGAUAAAGUUAUAAGACGAGAAGACCCUAUGGAGCUUUAAACCAAGUAGCAGUUGCUUAUAUUUUUCAUAUUUCAGAAUCCUAACAUUUAUUCUAGCUAAAUGCCCACUGGUUUUAGGUCGGGGCGACCGCGGAGUAAAAAGUAACCUCCACAUUGAACGGAACCAGUUCCUGAGCCUCGGGUCACAACCCUAAGCACCAAUAAAUUGACAUUAAUUGACCCAAUGUUUGAUCAACGAACCAAGUUACCCUAGGGAUAACAGCGCAAUCCACUUCAAGAGCUCCUAUCGACAAGCGGGUUUACGACCUCGAUGUUGGAUCAGGGUGUCCCAGUGGUGCAGCCGCUACUAAAGGUUCGUUUGUUCAACGA
rnacentral:rRNA from 1 species